rnacentral:lncRNA from 1 species
CAGAAUGUUAUAGUAGGCGAUAUCAUGAAAGCAAUGUUGGAACUUUAUACUCAGGUUUCCUAGACUUUCCAUCACCACCAGUGAAUUCUGAGUGACAAUAGUGUGGAAUUUGGAAGAAUGGAAGAGAAACUGAAGUGGAGAGAUGGUGAAAGAGAAGAAAAAAUGAAGAAAGAUGCUUGCAAAAAUACUGCUGUGGGUCCUGAGAUGAGGAUUCUGGGAGGGGACGGUCAGCGGGGAGCGGGAUCGUCUUAGACCAUGAGGGAGGAUGAGGUGCUGAGAGCUGGAAGAAUGAAGAGAAAAGUGGCCUGAUGAGGAGGUGGAGGUGUGAGAAGUGACAAAGAGUCUGUGAGGAGAAUGAGGAAGGGCAACCCGAGAAAUCAAGAAAAAUCAGGAGACAAAUCUCCUAGAAGCCAAGAAGAUGGUGGUAAACUAAUAAGUGAUGAGAGCAG